rnacentral:rRNA from 1 species
UGGGGAAUUUUUGUCAAUGGGGGAAACCCUGAACAAGCAACGCCGCGUGGAGGACGAAGACCUUCGGGUUGUAAACUCCUGUCGGAGGGGACGGAAAGACGAUCGAGGCUAAUAUCCUCGGUCGUUGACGGUACCCUACGAGGAAGCCCCGGCUAACUCCGUGCCAGCAGCCGCGGUAAUACGGGGGGGGCGAAGCGUUGUUCGGAAUUACUGGGCGUAAAGGGCGCGUAGGCGGGCGGGCAAGUCUCUCGUGAAAGCCCACGGCUCAACCGUGGAAUUGCGGGAGAUACUGCCUGUCUUGAGUCCGGGAGAGGAGGGUGGAAUUCCCAGUGUAGCGGUGAAAUGCGUAGAUAUUGGGAGGAACACCGGUGGCGAAGGCGGCUCUCUGGACCGGUACUGACGCUGAGGCGCGAAAGCUAGGGGAGCAAACGGGAUUAGAUACCCCCGGGUAGUCCUAGCCGUAAACGAUGAGCACUUGGUGUGGCGGGUAUCGACCCCCGCCGUGCCGAAGCUAACGCAUUAA